CAAUGGGGGUAAUGGGGACAAUGGGGGCAAUGGGGACAUUGGGGGCAAUGGGGACAAUGGGGACAAUGGGGGUAAUGGGGAUAAUGGGGACAUCAAGACCUUAAGGGACAUUGGGGACAAGGAGAUCCCAUCCAACAUGGCGGACCAAGAUGUCUCCAUCAUGGCGGCCAUAUUGGACCAUGAUGUCCCUAUAAUGGCGGCCAUAUUGGACCAUGAUGUCCCCAACACAGCGGCCAUAUUGGACCAGGAAGUGUCCAACACGGCGGCCAUAUUGGACCAAGAUGUCCCCAUCAUGGCGGCCAUAUUGGACCAGGAUGUCCCCAACAUGGCGGCCAAUGAAGAUAAAGAUGUCCCCAACACGGCGGCCAUAUUGGACCAGGAAGUGUCCAACAGAGCGGCCAUAUUAGACCAGGAUGUCCCCAUCAUGGCGGCCAUAUUGGACCAAGAUGUCCCCAAUAUGGCGGACAUUGAGGACAAAGAUGUCCCCAUCAUGGCGGCCAAUGAAGACAAGGAUGUCCCCAACACGGCGGCCAUAUUGGACCAAGACGUCCCCAUCAUGGCGGCCAUAUUGGACCAAGAUGUCCCCAACACGGCGGCCAUAUUGGACCAGAAUGUCCCCAACAUGGCGGCCAAUGAAGAUAAAGAUGUCCCCAACACGGCGGCCAUAUUGGACCAGGACGUCCCCAUCAUGGCGGCCAUAUUGGAUGGUGACGCUGGUGGCAUCACCAUCACAGUGACAGCCCCCCCAUUGGAGGAUGAGCCCGGUGACGAUGACGUCAUAGGUGAUGACGUCAUCACAGCCAACCAAUCACGUGGCGUUGAGGAGAGCGAUGACAUCACAGCCGUGCUUCACGAUGAUGUCAUCCCCGAGGGUGACGUCACUUCAAAGAUGGCGGCUGGUGACGUCACUGCUGACCUCACUGAAGUUGAUGACGUCACUUUAAAGAUGGCAGCUGGUGACGUCAUUGUUGAUGAUGUCAUCGCUGCGGGUGAUGUCACUUCCUGUCAUCCUGGGGGUGACUGGAGUGACAUCGCUGAUGACGUCAAAAGUGGUGAUGACGUCAUAAGUGCUGAUGACAUCAUCCGCUCCCUCCCCAUUGGUGACCAGGCUGAUGACGUCACCCCCAGAGGUGACGUCACUGAUGACGUCAUCACAGACGAACCAAUCGCUUCUUUAUAUGGGGACGGCCGCAGCCAUGACGUCAUCCCAGUUGGUGACGUCAUCGAUGACGUCAUCACGGGUGAAGCCGUCCCUCCAUUACACGUGGAUGCCUACGGCGAUGACGUCAUCCACACAGGUGACGUCAUUGAUGACAUCACACAUAACUAUGACGUCACGGGCGACACAUCGCAUUGGGAUGACAUCACUGAUGACGUCAUCACAGGGGAAACCAUCAUGGCCGACCCCGUCGGCGACGUCAUCAAUGGGGACGACCUCACUGAUGACGUCAUUGAUGUCGAUGACGUCAUCAAUGUUGAUGACAUCAUCAAGGACGACAUCAUCAAAGACGAUGACAUCAUCGAUGACGUCACCUAUAGAGAUGACAUCACAGCCCCGAUUUCGACCUGUGACGUCACACCUGAGGGUGAUGACGUCACUGAUGAGGUCACGUGGAAGGAUGACGUCAUCAGUGACGUCAUCAGCCCCACAGAGGAGCAGCCGUUGUGCCCCAUCGAUGACAUCACGGAUGACGUCAUGGCCGCCCACAGGAGGGGCGGGGCUACAGGACCCCCCCAGCCCCAUAGCAGCCCCCCCCCCGGCUGCCCCCUGCUUUUCCUCGGCCUCCUCUGUCUCCUCCUCGUCCUCCUG
ensembl:lncRNA